rnacentral:tRNA from 1 species
CGAAGUAAUAUUAAUUCUUCCCCUUACACCGGAAAAAAGCUAAUGUCUAGCUACUUCGC